GUUGCCCCAGGAGUUGGAAGGAAAGGGCAGGGAGAAGGGAGUGGGGCACAGAGGGGAGGAGGUGUCAUUUAUGAGAGCUCAAGGCUUCCAGUAACUUACCUUCCUCUGUAGGGAGCUCUGCCCAGGGAAAAAGAAGAAAAGGACAUAUUCAUUUGGCGUUCAGUCUAAUGCUGCCCACACCCAGGACUUUGUGGCUAAGGGUAGGAAGCCUUAACUGAAGAAUUCAGAGCAGGAAGGCUCCUUGGAGGUCAUCAAUCCUGCCGUUCACUGUCCUGUCCCAUUAAGAGAACUUGGCUGGAGACCCCGAGAAGCACCGUUUGGCUCUGCACUUACCGCUCAAGAAACAGGACAGCCCCCAGAGGAGUGAUGGGCCGAAAGCACAGGUCUGGAGAGCAACAGGGACUCAACCUGACACAGCCCUCCAGUCUCUUAGCUCUGGAGCUCGCAACACUGAGUGGGCUACCUUCCUGACCCACCGGUCCCAGUCCCCACCGCAAAAACUGGCCACAGCCAUCACGAUGGAACUGAGAUAAACCCUUUUAUUUA